AGACGUAGUAACUUGCGAUAAGCCCAGAUUAGGUAGUAACAACCAUUUGAGUCUGGGAUUUCUGAAUGGGGAAACCCACGUGCAUAAGCACGUAUCCUUACCUGAAUACAUAGGGUAAGGAGGCGAACCGGGGGAACUGAAACAUCUAAGUACCCCGAGGAAAAGAAAUCAACCGAGAUUCCGAAAGUAGCGGCGAGCGAAAUUGGACUAGCCCUUAAGCUUUACACGCGUUAGACGAACGGUCUGGAAAGUCCGACGAUACAGGGUGAUAGUCCCGUAGUUGACGACGUGUGUUCAGUGAAAUCGAGUAGGGCGGGACACGUGAUAUCCUGUCUGAAUAUGGGGGGACCAUCCUCCAAGGCUAAAUACUACUGACUGACCGAUAGUGAACCAGUACCGUGAGGGAAAGGCGAAAAGAACCCCUGUGAGGGGAGUGAAAUAGAACCUGAAACCGUGUACGUACAAGCAGUAGGAGCAGGCUUUGUCCUGUGACUGCGUACCUUUUGUAUAAUGGGUCAGCGACUUAUAUUCAGUGGCAAGGUUAACCAUCUAGGGGAGCCGUAGGGAAACCGAGUCUUAACUGGGCGUUCAGUCUCUGGAUAUAGACCCGAAACCAGGUGAUCUAGCCAUGGGCAGGUUGAAGGUUGAGUAACAUCAACUGGAGGACCGAACCGACUAAUGUUGAAAAAUUAGCGGAUGACUUGUGGCUAGGGGUGAAAGGCCAAUCAAACCUGGAGAUAGCUGGUUCUCCCCGAAAGCUAUUUAGGUAGCGCCUCGGACGAAUACUACUGGGGGUAGAGCACUGUUAAGGCUAGGGGGUCAUCCCGACUUACCAACCCUUUGCAAACUCCGAAUACCAGUAAGUACUAUCCGGGAGACACACGGCGGGUGCUAACGUCCGUCGUGGAGAGGGAAACAACCCAGACCGCCAGCUAAGGUCCCAAAUUACUACUAAGUGGGAAACGAUGUGGGAAGGCUCAGACAGCCAGGAUGUUGGCUUAGAAGCAGCCAUCAUUUAAAGAAAGCGUAAUAGCUCACUGGUCGAGUCGGCCUGCGCGGAAGAUGUAACGGGGCUAAGUAGUAAACCGAAGCUGCGGCAAUGUGCUUUUGCACAUUGGGUAGGGGAGCGUUCUGUAAGCGGUUGAAGGUGUGUGGUAACGCAUGCUGGACGUAUCAGAAGUGCGAAUGCUGACAUGAGUAACGAUAAAGGGGGUGAAAAACCUCCUCGCCGGAAGACCAAGGGUUCCUGUCCAACGUUAAUCGGGGCAGGGUAAGUCGACCCCUAAGGCGAGGCCGAAAGGCGUAGUCGAUGGGAAACGGGUUAAUAUUCCCGUACUUCUUACAAUUGCGAUGGGGGGACGGAGAAGGCUAGGUGGGCCUGGCGACGGUUGUCCAGGUUCAAGUGCGUAGGCUUAAGAGUUAGGUAAAUCCGGCUCUUUUUAAGGCUGAGACACGACGUCGAGCACCUACGGGUGUGAAGUCAUUGAUGCCAUGCUUCCAGGAAAAGCCUCUAAGCUUCAGAUUGUAAGGAAUCGUACCCCAAACCGACACAGGUGGUCGGGUAGAGAAUACCAAGGCGCUUGAGAGAACUCGGGUGAAGGAACUAGGCAAAAUGGUACCGUAACUUCGGGAGAAGGUACGCUCUUGAUGGUGAAGUCCCUUGCGGAUGGAGCUGACGAGAGUCGCAGAUACCAGGUGGCUGCAACUGUUUAUUAAAAACACAGCACUGUGCAAAAUCGUAAGAUGACGUAUACGGUGUGACGCCUGCCCGGUGCCGGAAGGUUAAUUGAUGGGGUUAGACUUCGGUCGAAGCUCUUGAUCGAAGCCCCGGUAAACGGCGGCCGUAACUAUAACGGUCCUAAGGUAGCGAAAUUCCUUGUCGGGUAAGUUCCGACCUGCACGAAUGGCGUAAUGAUGGCCACGCUGUCUCCACCCGAGACUCAGUGAAAUUGAAAUCGCUGUGAAGAUGCAGUGUACCCGCGGCUAGACGGAAAGACCCCGUGAACCUUUACUACAGCUUGGCACUGAACAUUGACCCUACAUGUGUAGGAUAGGUGGGAGGCUUUGAAGCACGUACGCCAGUAUGUGUGGAGCCGUCCUUGAAAUACCACCCUUGUAGUGUUGAUGUUCUAACGUCGACCCCUUAUCGGGGUUGCGGACAGUGCCUGGUGGGUAGUUUGACUGGGGCGGUCUCCUCCCAAAGAGUAACGGAGGAGCACGAAGGUGGGCUAAUCACGGUUGGACAUCGUGAGGUUAGUGCAAUGGCAUAAGCCCGCUUGACUGCGAGAAUGACAAUUCGAGCAGGUGCGAAAGCAGGUCAUAGUGAUCCGGUGGUUCUGAAUGGAAGGGCCAUCGCUCAACGGAUAAAAGGUACUCCGGGGAUAACAGGCUGAUACCGCCCAAGAGUUCAUAUCGACGGCGGUGUUUGGCACCUCGAUGUCGGCUCAUCACAUCCUGGGGCUGAAGUCGGUCCCAAGGGUAUGGCUGUUCGCCAUUUAAAGUGGUACGCGAGCUGGGUUUAGAACGUCGUGAGACAGUUCGGUCCCUAUCUGCCGUGGGCGUUGGAAGAUUGAAGGGGGCUGCUCCUAGUACGAGAGGACCGGAGUGGACGAACCUCUGGUGUUCGGGUUGUGUCGCCAGACGCAUUGCCCGGUAGCUAAGUUCGGAAUCGAUAACCGCUGAAAGCAUCUAAGCGGGAAGCGAGCCCUGAGAUGAGUCUUCCCUGAUACUUUAAGUAUCCUAAAGGGUUGUCGGAGACUACGACGUUGAUAGGUCAGGUGUGUAAGUGCUGUGAGGCAUUGAGCUAACUGAUACUAAUUGCCCGUGAGGCUUAACCAU
rnacentral:rRNA from 1 species